ACCCCAGGUCAGGCGGGAUCACCCGCUGAGUUUAAGCAUA
rnacentral:rRNA from 1 species